UAUGCAUUGAUUCAUGUUUUAUGGAUCCGCACUUAGUUUGUGUCACGGAGAGAAUUUCUCAUAAAACUAGUGUUUUGAUCUGUGGUAAUUGUGUUCUAAUUCUGGAACUUGUAAUAUGGGAGUCAAUUUGUGAUAAAAGAGCGCUUUUUGUUUUGGUUUGCAAUGGUGGUAGUAAUAUAUUGUGGACCCUACUCCCUAAUUAGAUCCCCACCAUUAGAUAUAACCCUAAUUAGAUUCCCACCAUUAGAUUUAUUUUAAGUAAAUCUGUAUUUAAAUUUUAAAUAUCAUUAUUUUAUCUGUAUUGUUUGAUUUAAAUUAUUGUUUCUUUUAUUUUACUUUUUGAGCCACGAUCUUCACAACUAAGCCUUAUCACGUUGAGAGAUCGCGUACUUUGAAAUUGAUAAGAGAACGCGUCUCUCUUUCUCUUUGAUGGAUUACCUAGGGGAGAUGACGACAAGAUCCAGAAUAGCAAGCAUAACUACAGGGUAUUCUGAGAAACUUGAUUCAGUGUGAGAUUUGGAGUUUUGGGUGUUAAUCAGGGUGGCGCUGAUGGACUUAGAGAUUUGAGUAUUAAUUCUCAUGAAAAUAUAACAAAGGAAUCUGGAAAUAUCAAUGUAAAUGACAACAAUGCAAUAGCUUCGAGGAAGAUUGCGGAAGAGGUGAUGAUCCUCAUGAUGACGAUGGCGAUAAUGAUGAAGAUGGUGAUGAAGACGAUGACGAUGGUGAUGGAGAUGAUGAAGAAGAAGAUGAUGAUGAUUGAAAAUUUUUACUUUUUUUAACAUGUUUAGUUUGCAUUGAAUCAAUAUCUUAAAUUCUUAUUGACUCAAUGUUUAAUUUUUAGAUUUUCAUAACACUUUAAUUUCUUAGAUUUUGACCUAUCAUUGAAUUUUUGUUUUCAAUUGAGUAAAUGUUCAAUAGCAAUGGAGUUGAUGUUGUA